rnacentral:misc_RNA from 1 species
AACCAUAGAAACCUGCGGAGUACCUGCGGAAGGAUCAUUACCGAGUUUACAACUCCCAAACCCCUGUGAACAUACCAAUUGUUGCCUCGGCGGAUCAGCCCGCUCCCGGUAAAACGGGACGGCCCGCCAGAGGACCCCUAAACUCUGUUUCUAUAUGUAACUUCUGAGUAAAACCAUAAAUAAAUCAAAACUUUCAGCAACGGAUCU